rnacentral:lncRNA from 1 species
CAGCAAAUGAGCACAUGGAUGAGAGUAACCCCAGGAUGAGAUCUCAGUGGUCACAGGAAGUAUCUCUACAGUCUUCAUUGUCUUGGCUGCAAGGACUCUGUUUAACACUUGCUGGUGACUUCCUCAUAGCUGCUGGAGCCCAAUGUUUAAGUGAAGGCCCUGUUUGAGUAGUACACAACAGAGGUGAGAGUCACUUUUGAAAAGCACUGAAGCAGACUUCAGUGGUCUUCUCGAGGAGAUCACUUCCUGCCUAAUUCAGCUGAACUCCCAGCCAACUGGAACUCGACUUUGAGUUCUCAGCAGCUCAGCUGUUCAAAGACAGAUGGCUUAGGACUCAAAGAGGAAGGACACCCACAGCGGUCAAGGCCAGGAGACAUCCAAAGUACAGAGACUGCACUGUGGUCACUUGACUUCACCUGCUCUCAGGAUGCCUCUUGCACAGCUGACUCCAGUAUUUCCACCUUGCAAGAAGCAAGCCUCUGUACCUCCUCUUCACUUCUCAGACGAUGGCCCUGGCCAUCUCACUGUUCCUAUUGCCAGAAUUCCUCUCUUAUGCUGAGUGAAUGUGGACAUCUUCAAACAAGCUCCUGCUUAUCUGCUCUGGACAAACAGAGCUGUUCUUCAG